rnacentral:rRNA from 1 species
UAAAGAUUCAUCGGCUGCGGAUGGCCAUGCGGCGCAUUAGCUAGUCGGCGGGGUAACGGCCCACCGAGGCGACGAUGCGUAGGGGUUCUGAGAGGAAGGUCCCCCACACUGGUACUGAGACACGGACCAGACUCCUACGGGAGGCAGCAGUGAGGAAUAUUGGUCAAUGGCCGGGAGGCUGAACCAGCCAAGUCGCGUGAGGGAAGACGGCCCUACGGGUUGUAAACCUCUUUUGUCAGGGAGCAAGGGGCGGGUCGAGACCUGCUGUGAGAGUACCUGAAGAAAAAGCAUCGGCUAACUCCGUGCCAGCAGCCGCGGUAAUACAGAGGAUGCGAGCGUUAUCCGGAUUUAUUGGGUUUAAAGGGUGCGCAGGCGGAGGCACAAGUCAGCGGUAAAAUCGCGGGGCUCAACCCCGCUCCGCCGUUGAAACUGUGUCCCUUGAGUGCGCGAAGGGUAGGCGGAAUGCGUGGUGUAGCGGUGAAAUGCAUAGAUAUCACGCAGAACUCCGAUCGCGAAGGCAGCCUACCGGCGCGCGACUGACGCUCAUGCACGAAAGCGUGGGUAUCGAACAGGAUUAGAUACCCUGGUAGUCCACGCAGUAAACGAUGAAUGCUAUCUGUCCGGCCGGAAUGACGGCUGG